GUGCGCGCAAAUGGUGCAAAAGUUCUGAUCAAGAAUUGUCCCCGAUCCAACGGCGCGGAGCGCCGUUCUGGGCGUAAGCCCGGGACGAGGGUACUAAUUCCGUCCGGUUAUUUACACCCGGGGAAACGAAAGCAUUAGAGUAAGCAUUAGCGAAGUCUAAAGUUCAUCAAUGAUCGAGGGCGUGGGUUACCGUGCGUGGUUCGGUGGGUGGUCAUCUCACUGAUCUCAAAAUAUGGCUGUUUGCCAGGGGUGAAGAAGGAAA